rnacentral:lncRNA from 1 species
UUCAUUCAUUGUAUCAAUAGUCAAAUUAGUACUACACACUAUUAUUGUGGAAUGUUGACGGUAAAAGGAGUGAGUCAGCUGAAGAUCCAUGCAUGCUUUAAUUUGCACCCAACUCUUUACUAUAUUUGAUUCCACAUGUAAGAAAAGAGUUUUGUUUCUUUUAAGCUUGUAUCGCUAAAUUAAUCACAUUUCUCAUCAUCAUCAUCAUCAUCUAGUAGUAUUAUAUCAACUUGUUAUAUGAACUAAUGCAUUAAGGAAUGUUGUAUGCGGACCUCUCUAUUGCUAAUCACAAAGUAAAAGCUUAAUUUCCUCUAAUGAAAUACUGGUUGGCACAUUUUCCUGAUUAUUUGUUACAUUAUGUUUACUUUACUCUCCAUGUUUGUAUCCUCUUUACUUACAGAGGGUUUUCAUCCACAAAUUCUUGCAUUGGUCCACAGCUCUAUGUUCCACACUCUUGUAUUUUCCAUUUAUAAGAACCUGAAAAAUAAAAUUUAAAAUCAGUUCCAGAAAGGAAAAAAUAAAAUAAAUCAAUCAUUCGCUAUGCACAGACAAUAUAAAGUUUUAUAAAUAAGUUCAAUCAUAUUUCACCACAAUUUCAUGUCAUAAUAUUUCCACAAAUAUAUCUGUGUCAU